GAGAGAGAGUAAGAGCGAGUGGGGGAGGGACAGAGAGAGGGAGAGAGAGAGAAUCCCAAGCAGGAUCCACGCUGUUAGCACAGAGCCCGACUCGGGGCUCAAACUCACAAGCCAUGAGAUCAUGACCCAAGCCAAAGUCAGAUGCUUAGCUGACUGAGCCACCCAGGUGCCCCUGUAUUUGCUUUUGAUGCUAUUAGAGCUAAUUAGAAGUAAGUAGAAACCUUACCAGGGGCCAGAUAAGUGCUUUGAAAGCGUGAAUUCGCAUUAUCCCCUAAACAAGCCUAUGAAGGUUUUAUUAACGUCAUUCCCAUUUCACAGAUGGGAAAACCAAGGCACAAAGAGGCUGAGCAAACUGCCUACUGACACACAGCCAACACAGGAGCGGCUCUGCUUUGUUUCCCCAGGUGUCCAAAGUAGAAGGAUGCGUUCCAGGAGGUGGUGGAGCUUGCGACUGACCAAAGUCAAAAGUUCGCGGUGUUCCGAGAAUUCAAACAGGAGAGGAGAAUACGCCCUGCUUCCUCAAUGUCCUCUCGACUCCCUCCCGACUCUAUUUUGGGUGAUUCUCCGAGCCAUGCUUACUCCAUUCAGAAUCUCCUUUCACAGCCAUAACCAUUAACAAGUCCAUGAGGAAAAACAUCUCUUCUGAUGGGGAAGCCUCAGGGGAAAGGGCCAGUGACAGCCAGACUCUGACCUGGGACCCAAAGAGCCCAUAAUGGAUGAGACCCGACAGCGGUCUGAGUCUUGAGCAAAGGCUGCGUGUCGUGUUCUUAGAAGGUUCUGAACUGAUGCUGAGGUGGUCAAGAGGAAAUGGAGAAGUCAAGAGAUGCGGACAAGAUCGGGUUGACCAGUUGGCUGUGGAGAAAGAAGGAGAAGGACGGUGCCCUAACAUCUGGCUUGGCGUUGGGCUGGCGCACAGUGGGAGUAGCAGUGUCCUUGAUUUGCUAUUUUUGAAAUCCAAAGCAAAAGGAUCCCUUCUGGAAUUGAUAACUCCCAACCACUGGGUUCCAGUCUCUCCGCCUUGAAAGGAAUUCUCCUUACGUGACCCUGGUUAUACAACUGGUGUGAGAUAGACACCCUGCCGAAGUGUCCCUGGAAGACCUCCCCGUAAUGAAAGUCAUUUCUAUUCUGACCCCACAGCGUCUUCGGCUUGACUUCUCGUCUUCCCCAACCACACGUCGGGGUUGGAACCAUCUGACUCCAACUCCAUUCUUGCCUUUGGCUGUGCUACGUCUUUCUUGCCGCGUAACAAGCUCCCAGUCACAUUUCAAGAGCCUGCUUACUUUCUGAACCCUACAGAAACCUUUCUGCCCCAUCUCAGGCAGAAUUAUUUACUCUUUUCUCUGCCAUCUUCCUAGAUUUUGAAAAGGUCUCCUCUGCUAAUCAAAGGGGAAGAAUUCUUUACUUUUCAUCUCAAUAUUUGCUGAGUUUAUAAAUAAGCACUCGGUAAAUAUCGAAGACAUAAGCAAACAAAUGAAUGUCUGAAAUGCGUAAAUUAGUCCUUGUCUUCAACGGCUUAUUUUGCUACUUAGAAAUAGCAAAGGGUUAGUAGAGCCAUGAAAUGAAGGCUUCCAGCACUUGGCUAUUUGUCUGGAAUGCCUCCAUCACCACUUGACAGCUGUCAGGGGAAAUCACAUCACCUUUGAACCUGAGUGUGUUUCCUCCGCUGUAAAUCUGGGUGGAUGACACCCAACCAGGGGUGACAUCGUUGUGAAGGUUCAGCUGGUAAGCGUGUGCAGGGUGCGUGGCGCCAUGCAUCAAUACUGGGUAUCUGUCAGGAAGUGGUAGAUGGUGGCGGUGGUGACAGGGAGAUAGUUGCAUGAUUUUCUUCUGUGAAGGGGUUCUCUCUUAAAAGAAUGGUUAUCGUAGGUUGAAGCCUGUCUCUCAAAGAUACACGUUGAGGCCCUAACCCCUCAAAUGUGUGACUGUGACCUUAUUUGGAAACAGGGUCUUACAGAUAUUGUCAAAUUAAGAUGAGGUUAUCCUCCACUAUGGUGGGCCCUAAUCCAAUAAUUGGUGUCCUUGUAAGGAAAGUGGAUUUUGUUUCUUUUGUUUUGUUUCUUCAGCUCUAUUGAGGUGUAACUGACAAACAAAACUGUAUGUAUUUAAAAUAUAUAAGAUAGAGGGGCGCCUGGGUGGCUCAGUCAGUCCAACAUCUGACUCUCAGUUUUGGCCCAGGUCAUGAUCUCAGGGUUGUGGGAUCGAGUCCCGCUCAGCAUGGAGCCUGCCUGGGAUUCUCUCUCUCUCCCUCUGCUCCUCUCCCCUGUUCUCUCUCACUCUCUUCCAAAUAAAUAAAUAAAUAAAUAGAGUGAAAAAUCCCUGCUUUGUUCAAGUCCUGUUGCUAGUACUCUGUGCCAUCACUCAGACUUCUUGUCUAAAUUAAAAUAAAAUAUAUAAUAUGGUGAUUUGAUAUCUGUUAUACUUUGUAAAAUAUUUACCACAAUCCAGUUAAUUAACACAUCCAUCACCUGACAGAAUUACUUUGUGUGUGUGUGUGUGUGUGUGUGUGUGUGUGUGUGUGUGAAUACUUAAGUCUACUCUUAGCAAAGUUCAAGUAUGCAAUAUAGUAUUAUUAACUAGGGUCACUAGGCUGUGCAUUAGAUUCCCCAGAGCUCAUUCAUCUUGUAACUGAAGCCUUGUACCAACAUCUCCCCCAUCUACCCCCUGGCCCCAGGGCCUGGUAACUACCAUUCUACUCUAUCUAUGAAUUCAGGCUCCCCCUUUCCCAAAAAAGUUCACAUAUAAGUGAGAUCACACAGUAUUUGUCUUUGUCUAUCUGGUUAAUUUCUCUUCACGUAAUGCCCUCAAGUCAAGGUCUAUCCAUGUUGCUGCAAAUGGAAAGUUUCCUUCCUUUCUCAUGGCUGGAUAGUAUUUCAGUGUGUGUGUGUGUGUGUGUGUGUGUGUGUGUACAUAUACAUACAUACACACAUCACAUUUUCACACAUUCAUCCGUGGAUGGACACUUAGGUUGUUUCCAUAUCUUGGCUAUGGUGAAUUUGCUGUAGUCAGCAUGGUGCAGAUAUCUCUUCAAGAUACUGAUUUUGUUUCUUUCAGCUAUAUAUCCUGGGAUUGCUGGGUCACCUGGUAGGUCUACUUUUAAUUUUUUUAGGAACCUCCAUACUGUUUUCCCUAAUGGCUGCACCCAUUUACGCUCCCACCAACAGUGUACAAGGUUCUGCUUUCUCUACAUCCCCACCAAUCCUUCCCUGUUGUCUUUUUGGUAAAAACCACCCUAAGAGGUAUGAGGUGAUGUCUCCUUGUGGUUUUGAGUUGAAUUUCCCUGAUAACUCGUGAUGGUGAGCAUAUUUUCAGGUUCGUUUUGGCCAUUUUAUGUCUCCUUUGGAGAAGUGUCUAUUCAGGUCCCUUGUCCAUUUUUGAAAUUGGAUUACUUGUUCGCGUUUUGUUUUUGUUUUUGUUUUUGUUUUGCCAUUGAGUUACAGAAGUCCCUUCCUCAGUUUGAAUAUUAACCCCUUAUCAGAUACAUGGUUUGCAAAUAUCUUCUCCCAAUCCCAUAAGUGCCUUUCAUUUUGUUGAUGGUUUCCGGUGCUGUGCAGAAGCUUUUGAGUCUCGUGUAAUCUCACGUGUUUAUUUUUCUUGCUGGUGCAGCAAUCAAGGACCCAGUGACCUGGUGUUUGUGAUAAGUGCCAGACAUUGCACUACCUGUGGGUAUGAUACAAGGUACAGUCUGCCCCCAAAUAUAUAUGGUGGGCAUGUCUCAAUGCUUUAAGGACAGACAUUCAUGCAGGUGGAUUGAAACAGACCCAGAAACACUAUGCUUGAUGGAAAGAGGGAGAACAGUGCACCUCGCGAAGAGCGGCAACUUUUAGAAAGUCCGCGAAAUAAACAAUUCCAUGUCCACCUUGGACAAAUACUGCAGGACACGUGUUUCUCCCGGUGAAGACAGUGUCUAUUUGAUUUUCAUCACCUUUCAAAGAAAAAGUGGUUCCCAUCAGCACUAUGUGAUUAUGAACCUUGCAGAUACACUUUAUUUGGCAGUGAAAUUUCUUUAAAAAUGAAAGUUGAUGGUGGGAGAGGGUAAGAAAUAGAAGAUUGGCUACAUGUACGCAGAAACCUAUCAAGAAGGAAAAAUGUUACUGGUACUACAUUAAAGCAGUAAUACAAAGCUACUGUUUUGCCUGCUCUCAAUCUAGAUGUUCAUACAAGAGAAGCUGAUUUCCCCUUUCCUUCUCAGUGAUCAAAUACACAUUCUUGUGCAUCUAACCAUCCGGCCAAGACAAAACCAGGCGGAAAUGAAAGCAAGACUUCUGUCUUCAAGGUAGGUUCUGGGGGAGGCCCACGCACCUUGCUUUCCAGCAGGUGGAGAGACGUGACAGUUUCUUAUACUAUAGUGACAGAGAGACCUGCCAGGGCGCAUGGCUUUAGCCCACCGAGUCUGGGCAGCUGACAUAACUGUGGUCCCCUUGGGCUCUCUUUCUGGAUUGUCCUAUCUCUGACGGCCUGGCAGGACCGUGGUCACUGGGACUGGGUAUUCCAAGGCAUCGCAGUCAUCAGAGAGGAACACCAAAUCCUGAAAAAGAUGUGCAAGGAGCAAGAAUGUUACCGAAUGUGGCCCCAGAGCUCAUGCAUGACGAUAGGACUCCUGGUUAUCUUCAAAGACUGUUCGGUUAUUUCUUUUUGUGUGAAAACUUCCGUCCCUUAUUCUCCCGAGGAGAACCGGCCACGUCUUCACGCUCCCAAAGAACGUGAUAUCAUACUGCAUUAGAAAUAUAAAUAAUCCUGUAUUAUAAUUGUAUCUUCUCCCUGUCUUCCCCCACCCCACCCCACAGACCAAGGGCAGAGGGGAAUGAGGACGGAAAUGGGAGUGGGGAGGGAAUCCAUGGCAAAUCUUUGAUUCACGAACAAAUGGAACCAAAUAGCUAAUCAUGUAUCCUGAGAACUUACCCUGGGCCCAGGCCUGGUGCUAGGAAUUCUCUGAGUGAUCACUUCGCUAACGUCUUAGGACCAAUGGAGUUCCUACAGCGACCCGCACCCAUGGUUGGGGAGUCGUUAUUACCAGUAUCCUUCCAAUGGUGGCGUGAGGUGGGCAUCAUUGCGUCUCUGGUUCACAAAUGGGGAAUGUGUGGCUGAGAGCAGGGACGAGUGGCUCCCAUCUGGGAAGCAGGAAGACGGACCCGAGCUCAGGUCUGUCUGAUGCGGAAGCCUGUGCCCCCGGGGAUCACACGACUCUGCUUUCUAUGUCUAGUGCUCAGGCUUUGGUGUUCUACGUUUUCUGCAUUUUUCUGCCUCCUUCCCCUCUCCUACCAGAAGCCUCCUAUUACAGAGCAUCUGAAGCCCCUCUUCUGGAAAGUCUCCUCUGACCCCAGUGCUCGGAGCUCCCCGAAUUCAUAGCCUUCUCUUCCCAUCCCUGCCCCAUUUGGCUCCUGGCUGAGUCUGUCUCAUAGGUUUAGCAUAUGGCCCUGGAUGUUGUCCCCACACCACUGUGACUCAUGGAGGGGACGGCCUUGUCCUGAGUGCCCGUCACUUACCAAGGGUGACGAUGGUAGAGGAAGGGCUUUGUGAACUGAAAGCACCCCAUAAAUGUUUCUCCUCCUUUCUCCUCAUCUCCGGAGCAUCCCUGUCCCCCACCCUCCUCUUCUAAGAGCCCUGGGCUGAGCAUCUUGGCUGAUCACAGGCAGAGAAGGAAUUUUCAGUAGUGCCACCUACUCUCCUGCAGAAGGAGUUCAUGAUGGUGUACAGUUUCCGCACUUUGUCCUUCAAGGCAUCCACCUGGGCCACUUUCCAGCACUGGGGCGAAGCCACAAAGUCCCGCAGCUUGGCCAGCACGCAGUAGUUCUGGGAGCGGACAGCAGGGGUAGGGUCACGGAGGCGUCAGCAGCCAGAGGGACAGGAGUUGCGCGCCCCUGCGCCCUUCUGCACAGGCUCUCUCCCCACCCCAUGCCUCCCCCAGGCAGGAAGACCCUCUUACAUGUAUAUCCAGGUAUAGCCUGGGCAGGUACCUCACACACGCCUCCUGCGGGAAGGGAUACGGAUUACCAUGAUGCCCACGGGCACACAACAUCGGCUGGUCACAGAAGGCUCCCUGCCACCCUCCCAACAGCCAUACAACCCCAUACACACCUUCCUUGAUCUGAUUUUACACACACACACACACACACACACACACACACACGCAUGGAUUUGAUUACCUAUGCAUGGUCAGAAAGCUGUAAUACUAUCCACGAGAAUGUUAUGGCAGUUGUUACCGCUAGUGGUAGAAUGGCAAGUGAUAUUUAUUUUCUUCUCUGUCCUUUGUGCUUUUUCCAACUGUUCUAUAAAGCACAGUAUUCCCCCCCCCCGGCCCCACUUAUAUGUGGGAGAUAUAUGCCAAGACCCCUGUGGGUGCACAAAACCGUAAAUAAUACUGAACCCUAUAGAUCAUAUUUUUUUUCCAAUACAUAAGUAUGAGCCCAGAUAAAGUUUAAUUUAUAAAUUAGGCUCAGUGAGAGAUUAACAGUUACUACUAAUGAAAGAACAAUGACAACAACAUACUAGAAUAGACUGACCCUCUGACCAUACGUCAGAAGGGGGAUCAUCUGCUCUGGGGCCGCAGCUGACCGCGGUUGACCACAGGUAACUGAAACCCCGCAAAGCAAAUCCACGGAUGAGGGGGGAUCUACUAUAUAUGCCUUUUAUAACUAGGGAAAAAAUUCACAUUAUUUAAGUUUUAAAAUAAAAUAAAAUAAAAUAAAAUAAAAUAAAAAAGGUGUCAGGGUAUCAUAAUCCCACAUCUGAGAAACAUUACAUUUUGUUUGAAGUGUUUACGCUGGGUGAAGAGACACUUUAUAUUUUUUCAAAGCUCUUAAUGAGGUUUCAUUUGUUUCUCUACGGGACAAGCGGUCAGGGGACCCGGGUUCUAGCUCUGGGCAGCUCUUCUGGAACCUCCUGCCCCCACCGUGCCCUGGGUCUGCCUGUUGAAACAGCAGUGAUAACAGCACUAACGUUCCUGGGGCGACCCCCGCCCCGCGCACUGCGCAAGCCUGUCUCAUUCACGCCUUUACCCUCACAUCGCCCGAAGAGGGUGGCGGGCUCUCUACCCGCCCCCCUCCCCUCCACAGCCCAUCACACUGAGAUUCAGGGGCCGAGCGCUUUGCCCAGGGUCCUGCAGCAGGGACCCGUUCUGGGGGUCACCCCCUCAGCCCACGCUCACCAUCUCCAGGCUCGGUGAGGGCAAUGAGCUUAGUUCUGUGUUCCUCCUCAACUCCGGAGCUCUAGGCUCCUUGGGGAGCUUUUAUUUCAUUUUACAACAGAUCCUCUCAUUGCUGCUGGCAACUUACAAACAAAGACCUUGUGAGGUCUUGGAUAGAUUUCCCUUCUAGUCAAAACACAAGAGAUGCAAACCAUUGUUAUCUUACUUAGUAGGAUGGGAAUAAAAUGCAAACCCUUGAGAUAAACAUUGACCAGAAAAGAAAGGAAAAAGAGCGUGUGUGUGUGUGUGUGUGUGUGUGUGUGUGUUUUCCUGGCCCAAAGGCACGUUUUGGGAGACUGGGUCUGCACGGAGCCUCCUGGUGGGCGGAGGGCAGGUGGGGACUCACCGAGGGCUCCAUGGCCUGCAAGCGCUGGGCGUCCCCAGUGACCUCCCGGCUCAGGCUCAGCAUCCUGGAGUAGCAGGUCGGGGGAGCGGGCUGUGCCGCGGGAGGUCCGGCCAGAAGCAGCAGCAGCAGUGGGAGCAGCCCGGGCGUCAUGGUGCUAAGGCAGCCUCCCUGCGCCCCUGUGGCCGGCAGGCGCCCCUUUAAGCGGCGGCUUGGGGGUGGUCCUCCACACCUCCUCCGCUUCCUGUGGGCCCCCGCCAAGGCCACAGAGCACACCCACCUGGCCCUGGACACUGGAUCCUUUCAGACCUGAAGCCCCCCCCACCCCCCACCGCCUUGUGAGAGGAGCGGCCCGCCUGGGGACACCUGGAAAGGAUGGGGGUGGGGGGGCCCUUCCUCUCCCACACCUUCUCUGCUGGCAGGGGCGCUCCUGAAAAGGCAGGGCCGGUUGGUGAGGGGGUGGGGGAGCACAGGAAGACAAGGACGGAGUUUCGCUCGGGGUGACGGGUGGGCAUUCGGGCUCCGCAGUUGGGGUGGGGACCCUGUUGUUAAACCAGAGCAGAGCCGGGGGAGGGAGGGGGGCCGGAGGUGAGGGAUUGAGCACCAGUGAUGCAGGGGCUUGGGGUCAGGCAGCCCGGUGUCGACGUGUCCACCCACCACUGACCACCCAGAGGAAGCCUAGGGGGUCACUUACCCUUGGAGUGGCUGCGCCUCUGCGUCUGCAAGACGGGCUCUUCCCGUGCCUGUGGUUGGGGGGAUGUGUGAGCACCCCCAAGCCGGGAGCACUUCAAGCCCCUGGCCCAGGCCUCGGUACAGAGCAGACCCUCGGGAAGCGUGGUUUCUCCGAAUGUGCAGUGGCUCCUUUAGUGACAAGGCUCUACGGGUGACGCUCCUGUACAGAGACCCAGUUAAGGAUGAGCUCUCCCCUCAGAGAGGGGCCCACUUCCGGUGACGCCCUUGGGCAGGUGUUUUGGCUCUUGCCUCCCUCUCAUUGUCUGUGAAAUGAGGAUGACAGGAGCGCCUAGCUCAGAGGCCCACGGUGAGGAAUAAAGGACACAGACCUGGUGUCACUGGCUGAGCUAAUGUCACUGUCUCUACGCACACGAGUGUCCCUGUGGGGGCGCGGGCGCCGAAAACAGCCCCAUCUUCCAGGUGGGAAAACUGAGGCUCAGAGGAUUCCAGCAACUGGCCCGAGGUGGGAAAGCUGGAAGCAAAUGGGUCGAGGCGGGGCUUUGUGCCCUGUCCUCCUGCGAGAAGCAAGAUCCUCGCGGUCAGAGAUGCACUUGGGGCCCUUGGGCUGCCCAAGGGGGACCAGAGAACAGGCAAGGAGAGGAGUUGUCACAGAGAGGAAGGUACCUACUCGACACCGAGCGUCACUGCACACCGUUUCUGUGACAGCUAUCCCGGCUGUUGUCACAAGUGCCAUGAGCCCCACGGAAAGUCCAUCAAGUGGGUGGGGUCAUUCCCAUUUCCCAGACGAAGAAACAGAGGUCUCGGGGGACAUGAAACUGGUUGAGGUCACAAGGCUCAUGAGGAACCCGGGCCUGUGUCUGUAGGUCUCCCAGGGCUCUCGGGCUGCAAGGGAGGGUACAAAGGAGUGUGGUGUCCUGCCCCUGCCUCUCCCUGCGGCAUCUGCCCCGAGAAAUCCCAUCCUGACCGGUACCGCGCAUCCCCUGUCCACACACAGAGUAGCACCACCCCUGUCCCUUCCAGGCCCGAGGUCUUGUUUAUCUAGCUUUCCGGUGUGAAAGCCCUGGGCUGGGAUCACAGCCACGCCUUCCUGUUUUGCAAGUGGGAGUGGAUUCUCUCAACACUUUUAUCGACAUGACCUGGGGACAGUCUCUUGGGCACCCUCCCGGACAGGAUGGGACUGUGUGGGUUUGGAGCUGGGCGGGCAGCAAACAGAGAGGUGGUUUUCUUCUGGAUGAAGGAGUCCCUCACUCCCUGCAUGGAGUGCCUACGGCGUGGGCCUCCCUGGCAGACCAGCGGGCCCAGCCAGGGACGCCAGGCCUGCUUUGAAAGGCUCCAGGGCUUCUGGAUGGUUCCAUCGAAUGAGCUUCAGAUUCAGAGCAGGGAAGAAAAACAAGCCCAGGCACCCAAACAAGUCCUUGGACCAUUCAGAUGGAGAGGAUGGUGUGCUGGAAAACAGGAGUCGUCAGUGCGUUUGAAGUCCAGAUAAACAUGUCGCUAGGAGAUCCAGCCUUGUCUCACUCGGGACACGGUGAGCGAGCGGUUGUGGAUGGGGCCCCUCGGGCAGAUCAGAAGCUUCUCCUGCACCCUGAGCUCCAGAUGCUGAGCUCACCUUCGCCCCCUUCCUGUCAAGUGCGCCUCCAGAGCCUGCUUGCAUACCUCCCUGGAUGGGGAACUCAUUGCCUGCUGGGGCCACUCUCCAGGCUCGGGGCAGCUCUGGCCGAUGCAGAUUUUCCCCAAGGUGAAGGUGAGUUGUGAUGACUCCCCUGUGCUCCCAUCUUUGGCUUAAAACUGCUUUCCCUUCUUCCGCAGAACAGCCCUGUCCCGAUCCUAAGGCCACCCCUGUUCUUCAGUCUGUGCUCAAGCACCCAUCCUUGCCCCUCCAGACAGAGUCGGCUCUCUUUCAGAGCAAACGUCUCCCGCGGAAGUGGCUUCCGGAUCUUUUCCCACAAUCGCAUCAUGAUUAACGUCUUUCUGCCUGGAGUAGAAAUCCUCUCUCGCCAGCCCGUUUCAAGGGCUCCCCUGGUUCCCCGAGGCCUGGAAGACCUUCUGAGGUCUCCGGCCUCCUCUCCAGUCUCUUCCUGGUGGCGAUGAUGAUAACUCACUCUGGAAGUGCUGCCUUGCUCUGAGGCCAGGGCAAAUGUCAGUGUAUGUAUUUUACCGUCGUCAUUUGAGGGCACCGAGGCCCAGAGAAGCCGAGUGACUUACUCCAAACCACACAGCAUUAGUAGUCGCAAGGGUCUGUAGUCACCAUACCCAAGUGGCCUUUAACUUUCAAAUAUGCUAUUCCCUCUUCUUGGAACACCGUUCCCUCACCUAGUGUCCCGGGUUUGCUACUUCUCACCCUUCCAUUCACAGCUGCAGUGCCGCUUUCUCCAGGAAGCCUGCCUUGACCCACAGAGGCUGGACUGGGUCCCCUCUGCCCGACCAUCUCCCCCAGACCCAUCACCCUCCCCUGCUCUGCCACGGCAUUGUCCUCUCUGGCUGUUGUCUGUCUGCUUACCCAUCCCCAUGGGCAGAGCAAGUGUCCACUGUGUCUUUAUGUCCACAGCAUGGGGUCUGGGGCCAACACGGAGCACAUGUUCAGUAAACAUCUCCCUCCAAGUGGAGACGACCACCCCUUUAUUCACCCUGGUGUGUGUCACUGGGUUUCAUACCAUCUGGGACGCAGACUGGAACAGCCCUUCUUGAGAAGUUUGAUCAAAAUGAGGCUGUCACCUCCUUAUUCUGGGUCCCUCUUGGGUCAGUUAGGACUGUAGGUGGCACGUUACAGAAGACACAGCUUGAGAAGCCAAAGGCUAAAUUUCUGGAAAGUGUACCUGGAAAGUGCAAUGGUAGCAUGGAGCUCGGGAAUGGUUUGAUCUAGGGACUCAAUGACAUCAUUAAGAAAUCAUCUUUUCCUGCCUCCCUAUUCCACGCUAUGAUGGCCUUCUGAUGGGUCAGCUUCUUGAGGCUACUGUUCCCGGUUAUUCAGUCAAACACAAAACCAGGUGUCUCCGUGAAGAUAUAUGUGGAUGUGAUUAAAGUCCAUAAUCAGUCGGCUUUAAGGGAGGGACAUCGUCCGAGAUAUUCUGGGUGGCCCUGAUUCAAUCAGUUGAAUGAUAUCAGGAGUAGAAUGGAAAAUGAAGAAGAACUUCCCUGAAGAAGAACAAUUUCUGCCUGUGGAGCAGCCUCGGCCCAUCCUGUGAGUUCCUCUUUGCCUUUCCUGAUGGCCUGCCCUACUCCUUUUGGACUUUCUUGUCUGGCCUCCACAAGUGUGUCAGCCAACUCUUUAUAGUGAAUCCCUUACUAUGUCUUUCUUCUGCCUCUUUGGUUAAACCUUUCCUGACACGCAUAUUGUCUGCUCCAUCCUGAAGCCAGGCCCCCGUGUGGUCACAAAGUGGCUGCCGAUAGAGUGCGGGACACAUGGUACGUCAUCCCUGUCCAGAGAUGUAACGUCUGCCCCUGACUACUAAAGAAAGGCUGGAGCUGGUAGCCGACCCUGCCCUUGCUUGUCUUGUGACCUAGCACCUUGAUAGCCUGGGGCUCCUUUUUUAGGACCUCUAGAUAAAAAGGAUGUAACCUUUUCCUUCUCGCUGUUCAGACUGGCAGAUUCCGAUAAGUGACGCAGGUAAUAACCAGGGGAAUGCUCUUUGUUCCUGGCCCCAGGGCUGAUGGGAGAUUCCUGAGCCAACUCGCUGUUUUCCUGCCCCCUUGUUACUUGGCUCCGAUGCAGAAUCGCACCUUUCCCGAAUGUUCCCUAUGUUCCUGUCCUGGGUCUGCGACGGCAGCCAAGGUUGAAAUGGCCGUGGCCGUUCUCAAAUCCCCGUUGCCUCGCGUCCAAAAGGAAGUGCCCAGGGACAGCUUCUUCAGAAAACAGAGUCUGAGAUGCUAACUUCAGAGGCUAGCGUUGGAGGCCACUUCUCUGGCAAAGGGGCCACCUCUGGGUCUCCGCGCUGCCUGCCUGCGUUCUGAGGUCAGAAGCCAGGAUCCGGGGACGCCCGUGCUGCCCUGACCCGGCAGUGACAGCCAGGAGGUAUUUGAGGUGGGGGUGGGUUGAACGACUAGCCACAACGUUACCCCCAGCGUUCCUGUUGAUGUCAGUUUUCCUUUGAUUAAAAGCAACACUUGUCCCCCUGUUUAGGUGAUGUGUUUUUGAGCGUGUUACUGGUGAUCUUGGCAAACCCGAGAGGAAAGUUGGCCCGCAGGGUCCCGAGUGAAGGAAUGAAGACAAACACUAAGGCAGGGCUUGGCUUUUGGGCAGUGAGUAUAAAAAGAAUCCCAUGUUUUAGACAACAGACCCCUCUAUAAGCCUCCAAGACAUGGAAUCAAAUUUUAAUGGGAUCCAGUGUACCGGACAAGUUCUCCCAAAUGUUUUCCCCGGGCCUGUUUACGCAGCAGGGACUCAGAAGGAGUCUUUUAAGGAGAGUCCCGGUUGGCUUAGCGGAAAGAGCAGAGGCUUUGGAGUAAUACAGACUUUCAGUCUCACUUCUGCAAUGAUGUGAACAAAUGGCAUUAUGUGUGCAAAUCUUGUCAUCCCUCGUCUGCCUCUGACGCGUGGGAUUUAUAACAUUUACUGCCGAGUUUCCGUGAAGAUUAAAUAAACAUGAAGCAGCUGGGGUGGCUGUGGGGGCCGGGCUGUUCUUUUUCUUUAUCUUUCCUUUCUUUGCUGCUUAGAUAGACCUUGCUCUUUCUCUCCGUCUUGGGCCAGCUCCUACCUCGCCGCUCUGGCGCUGGUGAUGGGCAUGGGACCCACGUGCUUCCCUGGGGUCGAUGGGCGGGGACGGGGAGAGAGCCUCUCUCUCAUCCCACCGAAGUUUCCACUGUGGCCGAGGCAGCUGUGUCUCCUGCCCUGGGGCCGGGGUCUCCACCGGAGGGGCAGGUGUGGCUAGAAUGUGCAUGAGCAGAGCGGGCAGGUGGACGGAGGAAAAGUCUGGACAGAGCUACAUCCCUGAUCCGGUUCCAGAGGCAGAGUCCUGCAAUUCCUGGGUGGACUCUGUGAGCUGCCCGGGCUCAUUUCCGGCUACGGACCAAGUAUUGGGUUUUGCUAGCUCUGGCUUCAGUGAGGCUUCCUCUCUGUCUCGCAGAUGGAAGCGUUCUGGCUAACACAGUCCCGACCCGAGUGCCCAGCAUGGCGCCGAUGCUCACGACCAUUGCUCUCUCUCCAUGAUUCACUACUUACGGCUGUCACGGGUGCUGGCCGCCAAAUCCGUCCAGGCUCCUCUCUCCCAGACCCACGCUGGGACUGAGCGUCCUGCCCCCUUCAAGUUGCGCGUGGCCAUGUGAGUUAUUGUGUGCAUUGACACAGAAGAGGACGUGAUGGGCUUUACUUCUAGGCAGAAGCUUUAGGAGCCAGUCCAUGCUGGGUGACACUCUUCCUGUCUGCUGUGGGACCGCCCGAGUCAUAGAUGGACGGUGGCUGUUCUCUCAGGCUCACCCCGAGGUGGAGAGGACCCAGGGCGGCAGCCCAGCCCACCGUGGUGCGGACUAAUGCUUGCUUGUUGCCACACAAGACCUGGCCCAGCCCGACCGCGGUGGGUGGGCAGAAUCCUACGAUGAAACCCGGCGACACCUAGGGACCCCCUCCCUUGGAGCCUGGGCAGAGCCUGGGCAUAGGACCAGGCGUCACUCCCGUGGCUAGGUGAGUUACAGGGCCAAACAGGUCUUGUCGGUGUCCCGGAGGGGACUAACCAGUAGGCUGUGAGCUCAUCAAAAGGAAGAUUACCCAGGCGGGACCGAUCCAAUCACAUGAACCCGCUGAAGGCAGGGAGUGUCCUCUGGUUGGUGGCCGAAGGGGAGGUCAGAGAGGUUCCAAGCGUAGGAAGGAUUGGAUCUGGCAUUGCUGGUUUGAAGGCAGAGAAGGAACGUGGUGGCGUUAGGAGCAGAUGGCAGCCGUGGGUGAAAGACAACAAACAGGAAGCUCAGACCUACAGCCACAGGGACUUGGGUUCUGGUGAUAACCCGAAUGAGCCUGGGGACAGCUUCUUCCCCAGAGGCCCCAGAUGUGAGUCCCUAUCUGCGAGACCCAGUGAAGAGAUCCCAGCAGAUUCCACCCAGACGUCUCUGUUCUCCUGAGCCGGGAGCUAAUAAAUACGGGUGUUGUUUUAA